GCUGGCUGCCUCCCAGAGUCACUGCCCAGCCCUUGGACAAAGGGCACAGAGGAGGAGCAGGUGACCAGGCUGGCUGGCAUCCGUGGAGGGAGGCUGGGCAGCAACAUAUGUGGACAUGGCAGGGCUUCUACGGCUGCCCAGAGAAUCUUAAAUCGAAACAAAAACCCCCAAGCUAAUUCCCGUCCUGGAAUCUGCUUGGUGCCUCAACUUCCUUGUAGGGAGCCAAGCUCCUCUUUCCAGCCCUGUAAGUGGCAGAGGCACAGGCUCUGGGUUAGACUCCUGGGAGAGGACGGAGAACCAGGCCCUCUGACUUAUUCCACCGAGUGACCAGCUUAUCGCGGUUUGGCCAGGCUUGUCCUAGUUUUAGCACUAGGAAGUCCCAAGUCCCUGGAACUCCCUUCCUUAGCCCCAGGCAAAGUGGGAUGAUUGACUCCUCCACUCACCACCAACCUGGGUCUAACUCCCAAGCCAUUUUCCAGUGCCUAGACUUAGAGUAUUAAGACUGGUACUGAAAAUCUGGAAGGACCCAGGAAUAUUAGCUCAAAAUGCCAGCUUAAGUCCUUUCAGAACCAGGCAGAGAUUAAACAAAUAUGUGAAAAUAAAAAAUUAGCUCUGGCCUUAAAAGUCAUUAUGUUAGGUGUAAGAAACACACAAAAAAAUCAAUUAUGAAGACCACAUAUUAUAUGAGUC